rnacentral:lncRNA from 1 species
CGCUCUCCCGCCGAGAGGCUCCGAGCCCGGCCGCGCUCGCCGGUCCCGCCUCUACCCAGCAAUGUGAAGAGUCAGCAAGUUCCCAGCGGCCGCUGAAACCCUCUGCGUCUCCGGGGUCCGUAGUGCGCCGGCGCAGCCUGGCCGGGGCGGCGCGGAGCAUGCUGGGAGCUGUAGUUCUAGCGCCKCUGCGUCCCGCCCGCGGCGCCUGGCCCGGCGCCGGCAGCUGCACUACGACUCCCGGUAUCCCCCGCGCCGCGCCGCGAGGAGCCGAGUUGAAGCGGGUGGCGGCGGAGCGCACCCCCUCCCCCCCGCCAAAAAGCCCCAAACCAAAACAAAAACAAACCACCCCCCCCCCUCAAAACCCCGGAAAUGGCGGUGCCGGGAGGGGGCUGCGAGUGCCGGGGGUGCUGAUCCGGCCGCCCGCUGCCGCGUCCCCCCCCCUUCCCCGUCCCUCCCCGCCCAUGGGCGAGACAUGGACUACGAGUUCAAAUCCAAGCUGGCGGCCGAGCGCGAGCGGGUGGAGGAUCUGUUCGAGUACGAGGGCUGCAAAGUGGGCAGAGGCACCUACGGGCACGUCUACAAGGCCCGCCGCAAGGACGGCUACAGGCAAUGCCAGGUCUGGGUGCACUGAGAGCUGUUGGUGUCAGGGAAGCGCUGGCAUCGCCACCGAGGGAAAGUUAACCUUUCAAAUCCAGCUGCCUGACACAUGUCUGCCUCACUGCUCUUCCCUUUUUUUUUCCCCCCUUUUUUCCCCCCCUCUUUUUCCCUUCCCUCCCCAGGCUGCCGAAAAUGCCCAGCUCUUAGCGAGCCUGGUGGUGGUGAAACACAGGUGGUGUGUACCCCGCUUCGCGGCUCGUGCAGGCCCCCAGCAUGUGCGGCUUCGCCCGCUCUGUGGGUGCACUGGUUGGAGGGUGGCGUGUCGGUGUGCUGUUGCCCUUAUUAUCUCAUUUGUUUCUUCGUAUCAUGUUUCUCAUCAUCUGUUUCACAUUUUAUAUGACUGCAUUCGUGACGUUUGGAUGUGCCGUUGCGAGAGCUUGCAGGGACCGUAGGAACGAGCGAAGACCGGUUGGCGGGGAAAGAUGAAAAGGAAUAUGCACUGAAGCAAAUUGAAGGUACAGGGAUAUCCAUGUCGGCCUGUAGAGAGAUUGCAGUAAGUGUACAUAAAUGAAAGAAAGUGUUUUUACUGACAUUAUAAUUCAACAGAUAAUAUAUUUUUAUUCUCUGAAUUAAAUAACGCAAAGCUUAUCUAAAUGUUUUCCUUGAAGUAUGCAAGCGUGAAAGUUAUUCAAACAUGAGCUUUCCUUAAA